CCCUUACACCUGCACAGGGGGAGCCACAGUCCUCUCUGAGAUUCAGCACAGGCUUUGAGGUCGCUGUAGGGGCCGUUUGCAGGUAAACAGGGAGGGCUCCCUGGAAGGGGGGCUGAAGCCUGAAGUCAGCGUUGCCGGGCUCUCCAAGAGGCCCCGGAAAACAUGGAUGGAUGCAGCAGCCCAGCACAUGGCUCAUAUCAGCCACGGACCCACCUCUAGAACCGACCCCAGUGCCUCCUGCUGCUUCUGAUGGCUUUCGUGGCAGGCCCUCCAGAGCCAGUCCUGUCCACCUGGGCCACCUUCUCAGGCUUCAUGAGCCAGGGACUUCGGCUGUUCUUCAAGCUUCCAA